AAAUCUACUAAUUCUACUUUCUAUUUCGCUAUCCACAGCUCAUCCAAUUGACUUCUAAGUUUUCCUCUAUAUUAGAUUCAUAUCAAUUACAAUUCUGCUCAUAAGGUUUCAUCUACCUUUACCGUUUGCUCAUAAGGUUUCAUCUACCUUUACCGUUUGCUCACAACGUUUCAUCUACCUUUACAAAGCUAUCCACCCGACUCGGUCUUGAGUCAAUCAUCCGCAGAAUACCGCGCAAAGCCAGACUCGAGGUGAAGGACGGCUCAUAUGCACCUCAGCCUUAAAUCCACUUAACUGGGAUACAACUAC
rnacentral:lncRNA from 1 species